rnacentral:hammerhead_ribozyme from 1 species
AUCCAGCUUACGAGUCUCAAAUAGGACGAAAUGCGCGUCCUGGAU